AGAUUCAGUUGAGUGGUUAGAGCUUAGGUCUCGUAACCGAAAGGUCGCGGGAUCGAAUCCCGCUAGAGGCUG
rnacentral:tRNA from 1 species